rnacentral:rRNA from 1 species
UACAGAGGGUGCGAGCGUUAAUCGGAAUUACUGGGCGUAAAGCGUGCGUAGACGGUUUCGUAAGUCGGGUGUGAAAGCCCCGGGCUCAACCUGGGAAUUGCAUUCGAGACUGCGUAGCUAGGGUGCGGAAGAGGGAAGCGGAAUUUCCGGUGUAGCGGUGAAAUGCGUAGAUAUCGGAAGGAACAUCAGUGGCGAAGGCGGCUUCCUGGUCCAGCACCGACGUUCAGGCACGAAAGCGUGGGGAGCAAACAGG